ACUUCGGUGGCCUAGUGGUUAGAACGUCCGCCUCAGAUGCGCGAGGUCGUGGGUUCGAUCCACGACCGAGAUA